rnacentral:rRNA from 1 species
AGAGCGAACGCUGGCGGCAGGCUUAACACAUGCAAGUCGAGCGGGCGUAGCAAUACGUCAGCGGCAGACGGGUGAGUAACGCGUGGGAACAUACCUUUUGGUUCGGAACAACACAGGGAAACUUGUGCUAAUACCGGAUAAGCCCUUACGGGGAAAGAUUUAUCGCCGAAAGAUUGGCCCGCGUCUGAUUAGCUAGUUGGUGAGGUAAUGGCUCACCAAGGCGACGAUCAGUAGCUGGUCUGAGAGGAUGAUCAGCCACAUUGGGACUGAGACACGGCCCAAACUCCUACGGGAGGCAGCAGUGGGGAAUAUUGGACAAUGGGCGCAAGCCUGAUCCAGCCAUGCCGCGUGAGUGAUGAAGGCCCUAGGGUUGUAAAGCUCUUUUGUGCGGGAAGAUAAGUGACGGUACCGCAAGAAUAACGCCCCGGACUAACUUCGUGCCAGCAGCCGC